rnacentral:lncRNA from 1 species
CCUUUUUUUGGCUUACCUUGAGCCAUGGGUCUUCGGAAACAACCUCUCUAUCUUCACAAGGUAGGGGUAAGGUAUGCGUACACACUACCCUCCCCAGACCCCACUUGUGGGAUUAUACUCGGUAUGUUGUUGUUAUUGUUGUCCAAUACAAAACCUCAAACCCAGUAAAUGAUGUUUCUUAUUAACAAUGAAUUGAGCAAAUUAAAACAAUGGGACGGUUCAAGCUUGUGAAUAAUCUUAACUAAAUUUCAGGAAAAAAAGUACAUUAACUAAAAAUUAUCAGCAAUCUUUUCAUGCUCUUUUGUGAACAUCCAAAUCAAAGACAGUUACCGAAUGCUUGUAGCAAAAUACUGUUGUCUCCACUAAAACUCAACCUAGAGAAUACAGUUUCUUGUCAUUCAAUAAAGUAGUCAAGAGUAAAGCAUCCUAACUACCAAAAAAUAAUUACAGAUAUGGAAGAAAAAGCAGACAAAGUGUGAUACGGCAUACAACAUCUCCCUGCUACAACUGAUAAUUGAAUUUCUUGGCCAAAGAGAAGUGCCAAAUCCCCUUGUCUAUGUCCUCCUUUCUAUACAUAUAUAGAUUUUAUAUUUACAACUUUAACCCUUCUUCUCACCGUAACUAUCAACAAGUAGAUUGAAUACCAAUUUCCAGCAAGCAAAAAAAAAUUUAUCCGUAAAAAGAAAGAGUAAUUCAAUAUACAUAUGAAGUGAAGCAUUCUGAAGUGAAGCAUCAUAAUUGACUUUUGAUCAACGAUAUUUUUCUGUCAACAAUAUCUAAGGAAAUCUAAGGAAGGCUUUUCGUUUUUAUUCCGGUGCAGAGGCCAUGACAGAUCACACAAGAUCAAGAACACAAAUGGAUCUAUAAGAAUUGCAUUCACUUGUGCACAAUUUGACGUGUGAUAUGGAGGAUUGGUUGGUAGUCGACAACUGCAGGUAUGAUCCUUCUAUCUUUACUAGUUCCUCGGCACGUGCGUUACACGUAUAUCUCGAGUCUGAUUAUUAAUACAAAGCUUUGAAUAAGUAACUUUACUUGAAAGAAUAAACUACAAGUUAUUAUAAUUAAUGUGGUCUUUAUAUGGUGGAUCGUUUGUCGAGAUCGAGAUGAUUGGAUAUCUAACCUACGAGGAUGAACAAUCAAAGUUUAAUUAGAUACAUGCUAUUGUUAUUACUUAUUUUGAUUUUAUGAGGUACGUAAUACUUCCUUAUAGAUGAUAUUCUUACUGUAUGUUCCUUUCAUCCGUUUCGGUCACUUUGUUAUGACUCUCAAGAAGCACCUAGCUCAAUUUUUUGUAUAUAAGACUAUUAAGUUCAGUUCUACUCCCACACACCAUCCUAGAAAGUUUGACUUGAUCUUCCGUAUAGACUUUUGCAUUUUUUUUGUUACUCUUCUUCAAUCCUCUUGCCAUAUUUUAACUUUAAGUAUAAGAGAUACUUCUUUGAUUUCUCUUCUUAUAGGUAAUUUCUUAUGAGGGCUAAGCGCAGCACAUAUAGAAGAAAGGGUGGUUGUUCUCUCGAUACCAAAACCUUGAUAGUAAUAAAACACAGUUCCACCCCUAAUUGAAUUGCAUUUUUGAAGUUUUUACAAAGGUAUAAAAUUUGAGUCUACGUCGGAAAGAGUGAAUCCUCACUUAAUAACCCCUUCCCACGAAUGGACUUUGGGGGAAGGUGAACAGGAACCAUAACAGAAUUAGGAAAGUCUUACCACUCAUCUUUGACCCUAUUUCUUACACGUGAAAAUUCUUUUUAAUUAAAUAAUUAUACAUCCGGGGAGGCUGAUCUCUAGUUAUACAUAACUUUUUUUAAACUCCGGUUAUGCAUACCUUGAUAUAUAUGAUGUUGGUAUUCUUAAAAAAAAAUUGUUUGAACUCUUAAGGAAGUAAAUAAUAGUAUAUGUAUUUCUCAAGCAAACUAUGCUCAUUUUUCAUUUAUGGACUAUACUUGGAAACAUUUAUCCCUUUAUACCAUCUUACUUUUGUCACAAUUCCUGUAAAUAUAGUAGUUGUACGUUACUCUUAAAUGUAUAAUUAUCUUUAAUUAUUUAUUUCUUUUGUUAGUUUAUUAAUAUUAAUGAGGUGACUUUUGGAGUUUCAAAAAUAUCACAUAAAUCAGAAAAGGGAAAAAAGCAAAAGAUCAAGGAAAAAAGAUCGAUAGAUAGGAGUUUUAGCUUUAGAGAAUGCCACAAUCCUUCGGAAAAAAGUUAGAAAUAGCCUGAUUUACAACUGCUACUUGAAAAUUAGCCACAGUUUCAAAAGUAAUCGAAAUUUUGCCACUUUUCAUGUAAAAAUAAAAUCUGAACAAAAAAAAACAAUUCUAGCAUAAUAUGCCCGAGUUCGAAUUUUUUACAUAUGAGAUUCCAGCAUAAUGUGUUGGAGUUCCAACAUAAUAUGAUGGAAGUUUAUAUGCAGGAGCUCCAUAAUCCAGCAUAUUAUGCUGGAACUUUUCGUAUUUCAGCUAGGGUAUUUUUGUCCAGAUUUUAUCUCCGCAUAAAAUAGUGGCUAUUUUUCAAUUACCAGCCCGAAAAUUGCUUGGCCCAUGCUAUUUUGACCAUUCCUUCAUCGUGUGGUUCAAUAAUCGUUAAACUAUCUUAAUAUCUCAUUAUGCUCGCAUAGAAAGUUUCUCUUUUCUUCAAUCUCGUGUAGCACAACUUCCACAUAUUCACAUAAAGAUAAAUUAAGAGAAUAUGAUACAAUAAAUACAAAUAUAUAACUUAAGAAUAAUGUUAAGACAUGCCUGAACAAUAAACAAAUUCAUAUGAACAACAGAGCAACACUAAGACCUUAUUAGAUAUAAUUUGGGGAAAAACUGAACUAUAUAUAACAUCUAAUAGAAAACGCAGUUUGAUACUUUCUUAACCAUUAAAAAAUAUAUGAAUGAAUAGAAACAUGAGAUUGUCCAGUGUUCCUCUCGGGGUUAGUGGCAAAGAAGACAAUGUAGACUAAAACAAAGGUACCAUUAAGUUCUUUUUGGACAUGAUUAUUAUUUUACCUGUGAUGGAAUCACGUGAUAUUUUUUCAUGGAGGAUUUUGCAAUGCUUUAGUCUCUAUUUGCAAAUCAUCUUUCUUAAGAGGACUUAGCGGUUUAAAGAGUAGAACAAACUUGGAAGUGAUAAGAAGGAGGAAAGAAAAUAGAGAUUGAGACUGAAAUUUGAGAGCUAUAUUCCAUUUUUUUUUUUAAUAAGACAAGAAGAUUUAAUUUGAGAUAAGUACAAAUUUUUGGUCUUUCUAAUUGAAGGAUAAUCUUUGUAAUUCAUUCCCACUUAAUUAUGAUCAUGAAAAGAGGAUAUACAUUAAGCCAAGUAUCUUAUGAAUUAUGCUCCAUGUUGAAAAAGUUAUUAUUAAAACCUUUAAUACAUUAAGCCAAGUAUCUUAUGAAUUAUGCUCCAUGUUGAAAAAAUUAUUAUUAAAACCUUUAAUUCAUACCAAUGGAUAACCUUUUCGGUGAGUUUCCUGUCGAUCACCUUAAGUUUGUAGUCCUACUGGAUCUAAUUAGCUUUAAAUAUUAACAAUGUAUAUACGAAAAAUAAACAAAUAAUACAAGAGUCAUCAACACAAACUUUCAGAGAAAAGAUAUCAUAACCGAUCACAGGAUUCACUUUGACAAUAAUGUUAUAUAUUGUCCCCUUAAAAAAAAAUAGGGCUAUAUAUUGUCGGCAUAUAUAACUAAUAAGCGUAGAGACUAAUGAAUACUUGCAAAAAGAGUAAAACUUGCGGCAACCAAUAGGAGAACCAUCAGAUCUGGCUGUUGAUGAAUGAGUAUAAGCAUUGGCUUGGGGGUGUUAUAGGUGUAUUUUUUUCCCGCGAAGAGAGUUUUCUGCCAAAAGUGCAUAUAAAGCGUUGUCUUUUCUCUCUUUUUAAAGCGCUGGCCUUGUUUCUUUUUUGAUUGAAGCGUUGGCUUAUCUAGUUAAUUUUAUUUCAUUAAGUAGUGUAAGGUUAUUUAGAAUAGUUAUUGGGUGUUUAAGCAGGGGUAUUAUGGUAUUUUAACUUUUUAAUUUAGGGCUUCCCACUUUUAAUAUAGUAUAGAUUAGUGUUCACCUACGAGCAAUAUCCAAUUUAGUUGGUAUUUACCUUUGAGCAAAAUCCAAUUUAAUAAGUUGUAAAAUUAUGUAUGCGAAUUUAUGAGAUACGGGAAGAUAGAGGAGGUGAAAGGGUAUAUAAUUGAUAUGAAAUUAUUGAAAUCUUCAAGAGGUGUCUUUUGGGGAGAGAAUUUAAGAUGUGCAUUUAAGAGGUGUCUUUUGGGGUUUUAAGAGGUGUAUAGCACAAAAUUGAAGAAAAUAGUGGGAAAAUCUAAAAAAUUGAGAUAAAAGAUAAAAGGCUUUCUUGGCUAUAGAGAGUGCCAAGUCACCUUUCCUAUGUCCUUCCUUUAUAUAGAUUUUCAAGCCUUGCUCAAGCCGUCUGAUGCAGCUUAUAGUUUGGUUUAAGAAGUUGAAUGUCUUCGGAUCAAAAGAAUGAAGUAUGUUUUAUUUCUUUUUGUUUUCUUUUUACAUUAAGUAGUAAUUUCUUAAAUCAAAUGCAGCAUAAAACUUCGCAAUG